CCGGGACAGCUGGCCUCCCGAGGGGCCGCUCGGAACACUCGAGGCGUGUGCCAGGCGUGGCCGCAGCCUCCCACACGACUGGAGAAGCACACGGACUCAGGCUGACCGCCUGCGCCCGGACCCCUCACUCUGGGAACCUGUCACCGGCUACGCAUCACCUGCUGUAUGGGACUGCGGAGCCACCCCUGGAAAGGCAGGGAUGCGGGGAGCAGACCACGGCCCAGCCCCCGCAGGCCCCUGCUGCCCGGAGGCAGGAGAGGCUCACUGCGUCGUGAGUCACGUCUCUGAGCCCGAAGCGAGUGUUACCGAGAGGCCUCGUGCUGCUGCUCCAGGCCAGGCUUCGGCUCCUGGAAGAUGAGGAAACAGGUCGACGGAGCAGCAGAGGUCGAUCCAGGUCUCUCCGCUGGGCCGCCCGCGGCUGGGAACU